GUGGUCGCCUUCGCCACUGGUGUUCCUUCCUAUAUCUACGCAUUUCACCGCUACACAGGAAAUUCCACCACCCUCUACCGUACUCUAGCUUGCCAGUUUUGGAUGCAGUUCCCAGGUUGAGCCCGGGGCUUUCACAUCCAACUUAACAAACCACCUACGCGCGCUUUACGCCCAGUAAUUCCGAUUAACGCUUGCACCCUCUGUAUUACCGCGGCUGCUGGCACAGAGUUAGCCGGUGCUUAUUCUGUCGGUAACGUCAAAACAGCAAGGUAUUAACUUACUGCCCUUCCUCCCAACUUAAAGUGCUUUACAAUCCGAAGACCUUCUUCACACACGCGGCAUGGCUGGAUCAGGCUUUCGCCCAUUGUCCAAUAUUCCCCACUGCUGCCUCCCGUAGGAGUCUGGACCGUGUCUCAGUUCCAGUGUGACUGAUCAUCCUCUCAGACCAGUUACGGAUCGUCGCCUUGGUGAGCCAUUACCCCACCAACUAGCUAAUCCGACCUAGGCUCAUCUGAUAGCGCAAGGCCCGAAGGUCCCCUGCUUUCUCCCGUAGGACGUAUGCGGUAUUAGCGUUCCUUUCGAAACGUUGUCCCCCACUACCAGGCAGAUUCCUAGGCAUUACUCACCCGUCCGCCGCUGAAUCAAGGAGCAAGCUCCCGUCAUCCGCUCGACUUGCAUG
rnacentral:rRNA from 1 species